rnacentral:rRNA from 1 species
UGGGGAAUUUUGGACAAUGGGCGAAAGCCUGAUCCAGCAAUGCCGCGUGUGUGAAGAAGGCCUUCGGGUUGUAAAGCACUUUUGUCCGGAAAGAAAUCCUUGGCUCUAAUACAGUCGGGGGAUGACGGUACCGGAAGAGUAAGCACCGGCUAACUACGUGCCAGCAGCCGCGGUAAUACGUAGGGUGCAAGCGUUAAUCGGAAUUACUGGGCGUAAAGCGUGCGCAGGCGGUUUGCUAAGACCGAUGUGAAAUCCCCGGGCUCAACCUGGGAACUGCAUUGGUGACUGGCAGGCUAGAGUAUGGCAGAGGGGGGUAGAAUUCCACGUGUAGCAGUGAAAUGCGUAGAGAUGUGGAGGAAUACCGAUGGCGAAGGCAGCCCCCUGGGCCAAUACUGACGCUCAUGCACGAAAGCGUGGGGAGCAAACAGGAUUAGAUACCCUGGUAGUCCACGCCCUAAACGAUGUCAACUAGUUGUUGGGGAUUCAUUUCCUUAGUAACGUAGCUAACGCGUGAAGUUGACCGCCUGGGGAGUACGGUCGCAAGAUU